rnacentral:rRNA from 1 species
ACUUAAAACUAAGUAUUAUAUGUUUUAUAGAGUUUGGGGUUAAGUUUAAUAAAAAAUUAAUAAAUUUUGUUUUUUAGUAUUAUAAAGAAUUAUAAAAAGUUAUUAUAGUUGAUAAGUACGGUGACGGAAUUAUUAGAGAUUUAGUUAAAGUAGAUUUAAGUUUUCGUACCUUUUGUAUCAGGGGUAAAUUAUAUGAUUAUGUUAUUAGUAGCUUCCCGAAACAAAGAGAGCUAGGUUUCAUUACUUUUCUCCGUUGUAAAGUGGUCUGGAAAGAAUUUUUAGUGGUGAUAUGUUAGUCGGUCUUUGUAUAUCUGGUUUUUUGUUAAAUAAAUUUAAUUUAGUAUAAAGUUAAAAUUAAACUUUAUAGUAAGGGUGGGAGGAAUGAGCUUCUCAUCUCGGUUUUUGUAGAGCGGUUGUUGUAAUGUUUCGUUUGAAAUGGGCUUAAAGUCAGCUAUUUUGGUAUAACGUUAGAGUAAUAUUGAAGUGUUAUAUAUUAUUUUUAAAUUGCUUGCUGUAAUUAGCAAAAAAUUUUGUUUAUUUUUAAAAUGAAAGAUAAAAUGUUUAUAUAAGUAUAAUUGAAGUUUUAUCAGCAGUUGAAGUGGAAUUUGUUGUUUAAAGUUAUUUAGGCGUUUAGAAGGAACUCGGCAAAUUUUAUCUCCGCCUGUUUAUCAAAAACAUGUCUGUGUGAAAUUGUUAUAAAGUCUAGCCUGCCCACUGAGAAGUUUAAAGGGCCGCGGUAAUUUGACCGUGCGAAGGUAGCAUAGUCAGUAGUCUUUUAAUUGAAGGCUUGAAUGAAAGGUUGGACGAGAGAUAGGCUGUCUCCUUUACGAAUAGUUGAAUUUAACUUUUGAGUGAAAAGGCUCAAAUUUUUUGAUGGGACGAUAAGACCCUAUAAAACUUGAUAUAAAUUUGACUUAAUUUGCGAUUGUUUGUGAAAAGUAGUUUUGCUGUGUUUAUAUUUCGUUGGGGAGAUGUAGAUAUAAUAUGUAACUGUCUGUUUAAUGUAAUAAUUAUAAUUAGUUUGUGAUCCUUCAUUUGUGGAUUAGAAGAAUAAGUUACUUUAGGGAUAACAGCGUGAUUUUCUUUGAGAGUUCUUAUCGACAAGAGUAGUUGCGACCUCGAUGUUGAAUUAAAGUUUCGGCUAGGUGCAGCCGUUUAGCUGGUAGGUCUGUUCGACCUUUAAAACUUUACAUGAUUUGAGUUCAAACCGGUGUGAGCCAGGUUGGUUUCUAUCUUUUAUAAGUUUAAAAAUGGUUUUAGUACGAAAGGAUUGAGCUUUUGAGAUAAUCUUUGUUUAUGAUUAAGUUUAAUGGACUAUCUUGGCAGAUUAGUGCGUCGGAUUUAGGAUCCGUUAAUAUAGUGUUU